rnacentral:rRNA from 1 species
GACGAACGCUGGCGGCGCGCCUAACACAUGCAAGUCGAACGGGAUAUUUUUGGAGCUUGCUUUGGGAAUAUCUAGUGGCGGACGGGUGAGUAACACGUGAGCAACCUGCCGUUUAGUGGGGGAUAACGUCUGGAAACGGACGCUAAUACCGCAUACGUUGCCAGGAGGGCAUCCUCCGGGCAAGAAAGGAGCAAUCCGCUAAACGAUGGGCUCGCGCCCGAUUAGGUAGUUGGUGGGGUAAAGGCCCACCAAGCCUGCGAUCGGUAGCCGGACUGAGAGGUUGAACGGCCACAUUGGGACUGAGACACGGCCCAGACUCCUACGGGAGGCAGCAGUGGGGAAUAUUGCACAAUGGGGGAAACCCUGAUGCAGCGACGCCGCGUGAGUGAAGACGGUCUUCGGAUUGUAAAGCUCUGUUGAGGGGGACGAUAAUGACGGUACCCCUUAAGAAAGCCACGGCUAACUACGUGCCAGCAGCCGCGGUAAUACGUAGGUGGCGAGCGUUGUCCGGAAUUACUGGGUGUAAAGGGAGCGCAGGCGGGCUUGCAAGUUGGAUGUGAAAUAUCCGGGCUCAACCCGGGGGGUGCAUCCAAAACUGUAGGUCUUGAGUGAAGUAGAGGUAGGCGGAAUUCCUAGUGUAGCGGUGAAAUGCGUAGAUAUUAGGAGGAACACCAGUGGCGAAGGCGGCCUACUGGACUUUAACUGACGCUGAGGCUCGAAAGCGUGG